GCGCCAACUCAAAAAACAAAAACCCUAGCCUCGUUUGUUUCCUUCUCCAGCACUGCUUCCGCAGCCGUCUCCCUCAUCGCUUGCGCCACCUCCGCAAAAGGCCCGACCCUCUCGACGACCAGUGCCGCCCUCCUCCAGCGCCGCCUCCGCACAAAAGCCCUAGUCUCUCGACAUCCAGCGCCGCCUCCCUCCCGCUGAUUCCCUCGUUGCCUGCGGCCUACCUCCAGCAUCGCCGACAUCCAGCGCCUCCCUUGUCCCCUUGCCGCCUCCCUCCAACAUCGCCGAUCCAGCGGCCUCCAUCUAGCGUCGGGGACCUCCAACAACCUCCCAUCCUCCACCUCCAGCGAUCUUCUGACGACCUCGAAUUCCCUCGCUCCCGCGACCUAGAAGGAUUACAGCUGCCUCCAUCCUUCCCAGAAAGGUGCUAUGCACGGUUGCAUCCGAGGGCUGUAAACUGCCGGAAGAAAAAAUGUGGCCACUGCAAUCAGCUGAGGCCUAAGAAGAAGAUCAAGUAAAUUCUGCGAUUCAAAUUUCUUUUCCAGGCUGAAUUGCCAUAUCAAAAAAUUCUACACUUUCGCGUUGAUUAAAAACUUACUGCACUUCUGCUGUUGUAAUCUUGUCGAACGGUUAACUAAGUUGGUGCUCGUUUGGCUUACUAUUUGUUGGCAUUAUGUUUUGAAACAUAUUUGACUAAGUUAAAAUGGUGGACUAGGAGUUUUAUUUUGGAGGAUUAAUGAGACAAUCUAGCAUUUUUAGAUUCACAUAAAUAUUACCCACAGCAUAUAUUUCGUGUUUU